GGAAGAAGAUGAAUAUAUGUAAACAAGAAAGGAAUACCCAGAUGAGAUCUUUAGUAAAAUCAUCUCCACCAAUAACCACCACCUCCACCUUCUGCCACCACCACCACCACCACCACCAAUACUACUUACUACCAUACAAAAAUUAUAUAGGUAAAAAGAAUGAUGUAAAGGGUGUCUGGAUCCUGCCUCCACCUCACCUUCUUGUUGUAACCUUUUAUCAUUCUAGUUGAAUUAAAAUUAAAAGAUUAAAAGACAACAUUUAAAGGAGCAUGUGAUAGAGUCAAGAAAAGAAAAGAAAAAAAAAAAAGUCAAAAUGUAUGUAGCAGUGAUUCCUAGGGUGGAAAAUUACAGUCGUACCCCUGGGGUGUAGUGUGUUUAUGUUAGAAAAGAAGAGAAGAGAAGAAAGCGUUUGAUGUGGACUGUACAGCUGCUGAGGAAGCAAGGGGCAAAUUUGUAAAAGCAAGUGGUGUGGGGGAGGGGGUGGAUGAGGUAGAUGAGUGAGUUUAGUGUUAAAAAGAAGUAGAAAAGAAAUGGUUGGCUUUAUACCAUAACUAGUUAAUGUUAUUAUGUAUGUAUGUAUACAACAUCAUGAUCAUGAUCAGGCUAUGAAUAGACAUGACAAUCAAGAAAUGACAAACAAAGAAACGGCUUUUAUUUUAUUUUAUUUUGUUGUUUUUUUUU
rnacentral:lncRNA from 1 species